ACGCCAGGAUGUCCUAGUUAUUACAAAGACUCAAGUCCUGAAGUCCAGUGUGUCAAAAUUAGAUUUCACACCUUGGCCCAGCCGUGAUGAUCCUCCACAGAGUCGACAGACAGUGCGAUGAUUUUGACGCCACGUUUACUGAACUCCCCGUGCAGUCUGGCAGCUCGGCCCAGCUCUGUGGUGCACACAGUGUACUUACGAGUCCCCGAGGAAUUCGUGGAGUGUAAUUUUGCCAUGGGUGCUCUCUGCCUCAAAGUCAGGAAACAUGUCUCCGAGCAGCAUAUUCACUCUGACUGAGCCAGCGGACCGUUGGCUGAGCUCAGCAUGAAGACUGAAAACAGGGGAAAUGGUUGCUUCCCCCAGAGACCACAGACUAACAAGACUAAGUAUUGAACGGCACGGUAGCAGUUCUGUAAGACUGUACCAUGUACAAAUAUAUCCACAGAUGUUAAAGUUGGAGAAAGUUCCACAAAUAACAUUCAUUCUUUUUCAUCCGCUGUAUCUUGUUUAGGGCCAAUGGAGGGGGGAGGGGAAUCUACAGCCAGCUGACAAGGAUGAAAGGGAACUGUUUCCAUCCUCACUGACAGGAGCACAUACAGAAUGUUCCUCCCAGUCUUAUCUCAGGGACCUGGAAUGGGCAGUAAAGUCACUGGAUUCCUUCCCUGGACACAGAUGCAGAAGUCUGACGCUGUAUCAAAUUCGACAGCUGCAUCUGCAGCGCAUGUCUGUGACUUCUCAAAACCAAACACACUGAGGUCAUUU